AUUAAAACUAUACUGCGAUUUCAUCUCACCUCAGUCAGAGUGGUAGCCGGUCUUCAAAGAAAGCAAACGACAGCCAUGCUGGCCAAGAUGGGGACUGAAAGGAAUAUUUGUACACACACCACUGGUGGGAGCAUAAACUGGUGUGGCCAGUACGGAAAUCAGUACGGAGGUUCCUCAAAUACCUGGAAGUAGAGCUACCAUAGGAGCCAGACAUACCACUCUAAACAGUCCCACCUGGAGGGAGGAAGGAGGCUCCUGAGCCUUAGGAAGUCACAAGCCCCAGGAAAGAGGAACUUGCAAGAUUCAUCGGGCCCCUUGCCAAGUCAGAAAAGCAGCAGCAGGUGCUGGGAGAGGGGCCUCCAACCUGUGGAGCUGCAUGCAAGUGCUGCAGG
rnacentral:lncRNA from 1 species